rnacentral:rRNA from 1 species
AUGGUCUCCCCUGGCCGCUGCCGUCGACGGUGCCGACCGAAGGCGGCGGGUGGGUGGGCGCGCCCCGUCGGGCUCCCUUCGCGCGGAGGCGAGGUGACAAGCGGGCGGCGAGGAGGUGUGGUGGUGCUGGUCGAGAGGCGCGGGGGAGGAGUUGUGAUGCAUAACGGAGGCCCCGGUGGGGCUGUGGAGGUCCUGGAGCAGGUCGGCGCUGCACAGCAGAGGGCCCUGGAGGAGAUCUGGUGGCGGCGACCCAUGCUGAUCCGAGCCCGAUCUGGGCUUUGUGGGCUGCUCGCGCAAAAGUGCCAUGAUUGGCCACUCGAAGCUGGAGUGCUUGCAUCGGCAGCUACGGGCGGGGGUGGAGGACCCUCUGCUAUGCGGGAGGUGGAUGGUGGGCUGAGGCAGUGGUCUCGCUACGUGCAGGAGGUGGAAGACGGUGUGCUCUCAUUGUGCGACUAUACGGACGAAAGUCCUGCCCGUCUCCGGUCGGUGCAGGUGGCGACGGUGCUCAUGGGUGUCGUUUUCCUCCUUGGAGGCGUCACCGAGUGUGUCGGCAUCUUCCUUGCUUUCCCUUAG